rnacentral:rRNA from 1 species
ACUCCUACGGGAGGCAGCAGUAGGGAAUCUUCCACAAUGGGCGCAAGCCUGAUGGAGCAACACCGCGUGAGUGAAGAAGGGUUUCGGCUCGUAAAGCUCUGUUGUUAAAGAAGAACACGUAUGAGAGUAACUGUUCAUACGUUGACGGUAUUUAACCAGAAAGUCACGGCUAACUACGUGCCAGCAGCCGCGGUAAUACGUAGGUGGCAAGCGUUAUCCGGAUUUAUUGGGCGUAAAGAGAGUGCAGGCGGUUUUCUAAGUCUGAUGUGAAAGCCUUCGGCUUAACCGGAGAAGUGCAUCGGAAACUGGAUAACUUGAGUGCAGAAGAGGGUAGUGGAACUCCAUGUGUAGCGGUGGAAUGCGUAGAUGUAUGGAAGAACACCAGUGGCGAAGGCGGCUACCUGGUCUGCAACUGACGCUGAGACUCGAAAGCAUGGGUAGCGAACAGGAUUAGAUACCCCUGGUAGGAUAGCG